GGUAAAAUGGCUGAGGUAUAGGUAAUAAAUUGUAAAUUUAUUUAGGAAAUUAAAAUUUCUUUUACCA
rnacentral:tRNA from 1 species